GCCCAUCAGAAGUAGCUUAAGCCCAAUUAAAUAUACAAGUUUAAUAAAUAAUUAAAUCCACCAUCUUAUUCUCAAAGUUAAGAAAAUCAGAUUUCUUUCUCUCUCCCCGUGUUCUCUCACUCACCGCGUCUCUCUCUCCCUUCGCUCCCUUUCUCAGCCGGCAACUUCGCCGGUCCUUGCCGCCUCCGGCCGCGAGGCCGGCUCCUCAUCUUCUCCUUCCUCUCUAUUCCUUAUUUCCUUCUCUAAUUCUAAGAUUCCCAAUUUCUAGGGUUUUCUGCCUCCCUUUCCCCUCUGAAAUUCGCCCCUCCGGCGAGUGCUGCCUCUGCCACCGCCGUCUCCGUCGCACCACCGCCACCUCUGUCUCAAGAAUCGAUGACUCAACUCCGGCGAGGCAGCCCGCCUCCUGAUCAAUGCUCAAGAUUCUAUUUUUUUUUUACCUUUCUUAUUGUAAAUUUAUGUUCUUUCAUUGAUUGAUUAUUGAAAAACUGAAGCUGUAAAGGUUGGGAAAUCGUACUGUGCUUAUAGAAAUUAGAGUUAGAGAUAUCUGUUUAUGCUUAACUGGUGUAGCUAUUCUGUUUUCACUGCUUUUCUUUACAUACUGAAUAUACUGUAUUGAAUAAGAAAGACUACCUUCUUUGA